AGUGAACGCUGGCGGCGUGCCUAAUACAUGCAAGUCGAACGAAGUGGCGCACGGGUGAGUAAUAUAUAGUUAAUCUGCCCUACUAAGAGGAACAACAGUUGGAAACGCCUGCGCAUACCCCAUAGUGUAGGAUGAGAAUAAAUCGGAUCAGCAAGUUGGGAAGUGAAUGGAUUACCAAGGCUAUGACGCGUAACUAGUCUGAGAGGAUGAUCAGUCACAUUGGAAGUGAGACACGGGCCAAACACCUACGGGAGUGGGCAGUAAUGAAUAGGGCGCAAUGGGGGUAACCCUGACGGAGCAACGGCGCGUGGAGGAUGACUCUUUUCGGAGCGUAUACUCCUAAUAUCAUGAAAGCGGUACCUAAUCAGUAAGCACCGGCUAACUCCGUGCCAGCAGCCGCGGUAAUUC
rnacentral:rRNA from 1 species